ACUCAAAUGAAUAGACGGGGGCCCGCACAAGCGGUGGAGCAUGUGGUUUAAUUCGAUGCAACGCGAAGAACCUUACCUACUCUUGAAUCCACGGAACCUAGUGGAAACACUAGGGUGCCUUCGGGAACCGUGAGACAGGUGCUGCAUGGCUGUCGUCAGCUCGUGUCGUGAGAUGUUGGGUUAAGUCCCGUAACGAGCGCAACCCUUGUCCUUAGUUACUAACGAGUUAUGUCGAGGACUCUAAGGAGACUGCCGAUGAUAAAUCGGAGGAAGGUGGGGACGAUGUCAAGUCAUCAUGGCCCUUACGAGUAGGGCUACACACGUGCUACAAUGGUCGGUACAAAGGGCCGCGAAGUCGCGAGAUGGAGCAAAUCCUCUAAAACCGAUCUUAGUCCGGAUUGGAGUCUGCAACUCGACUCCAUGAAGCUGGAAUCGCUAGUAAUCGUGGAUCAGAACGCCACGGUGAAUACGUUCUCGGGCCUUGUACACACCGCCCGU
rnacentral:rRNA from 1 species